rnacentral:tmRNA from 1 species
GGGGCUGAAUUUAAGCUCGACGUUAGUUUAAUAAGUUGGAAUGGCAAGCGGGGCUGAUCUGCACCUUAGCCGGAUCAAAAAACUAGAUGCAAAAUCUAAGUUAGCUAGCGCAAUUGACAGCAUACUUAAUGCUCGCCAGUUCGCUGCACAAGCUGCCUAAUUAUUUAGACAGCCGCUAUAUUUUCGACGUCAGAUAGAGAAUUAUUAGCGCCAAAUUUUCUGAACGCUCUUUGCUCCACUAUUUGAGGAGUAAAGCUAAGAUUAUCAAGUUGCCCUUUAGCUAACAUUUUGUUUGUUAAGAGUUAACUUAAGGAAAGAAAAUUAAACAAACUAAGCUUGUAGUCAUCCAAUAAGUUAACAGACGGACGCGGGGGCGGUACCCGCCAGCUCCUCCA